ensembl:snoRNA predicted gene, 23991
GGACCCCCAUGAUGUCCAGCACUGGGCUCUGACCACAUCUGAGGACAUAGUGCCACCCCAGGACCUUUGACACUUGGGGACUGAGGGGCCC